rnacentral:rRNA from 1 species
AUUGAACGCUGGCGGCAGGCCUAACACAUGCAAGUCGAGCGACCGGCGGACGGGUGAGUAAUGUCUGUGAAACUGCCUGAUGGAGGGGGAUAACUACUGGAAACGGUAGCUAAUCCCGCAUCCAAUCAAACGUGCCCAGAUGGGAUUAGCUAGUAGGUGGGGUAACGGCUCAGCUAGGCGACGAUCCCUAGCUGGUCUGAGAGGAUGACCAGCCACACUGGAACUGAGACACGGUCCAGACUCCUACGGGAGGCAGCAGUGGGGAAUAUUGCACAAUGGGCGCAAGCCUGAUCCAGCCAUGCCGCGUGUGUGAAGAAGGCCUUCGGAUUGUAAAGCACUUUAAGUUGGGAGGCGUUACCCGCAGAAGAAGCACCGGCUAACUCCGUGCCAGCAGCCGCGGUAAUAC